rnacentral:piRNA from 1 species
CAGUAGUUUGUAUACCUUCUGCAC